ensembl:snRNA U6 U6 spliceosomal RNA
GUGCUCGCUUCGGCAGCACAUAUACUAAAAUUGGAAUGAUACAAAGAAGAUUAGCAUGGCCCCCUGCGCAAGGAUGACAUGCAAAUUUCUGAAGCGUUCCGUAUUUUU